AAAAAAAAAGAAUCAGCUCACUCUCAGGAGCCGACUGACCAAUCAUUAUUUUAUAGUCCAUGCUGAUGUGUCUGUAGAUGAAGAUUAGAUCUGUGCAGAGUGAAAGCAGCUCAAAGUUCAGGAGGAGGAAAGAAAAGAGCAGUGAAACAAACUGAAGAGGAAAAAUAACGAGUUUAACCCAGAUUUCUCCAGAUUUCUUCAGAUUUCUUCAGAUUUCUCCAGAUCCUGCACUUUAUCAGAACCCUGGAGGUAAUCAACACAGUGACUUGGAGGCUGCCAAUCAGAAAAGGAUAUAAAAGAAAUUCCCAAGGUGCAGAAGCCUGGAGGCAAGCAACAGUCUAAAGUGCGAGGUGGUGAAACAAAAAAGAAACCGGCCAAUCAGGACAUGGAUACAACAGAAAAUACGAUGAAGGAAAAGGCUUCAGUAAAGGGUUCAGGACAUUGGGGGGCUGAGACACUGGUGAUUCCCUCUGGUCAGUUCUGUUAAUGAAA